GAUGAAGAACGUAGCGAAAUGCGAUAAGUAAUGUGAAUUGCAGAAUUCAGUGAAUCAUCGAAUCUUUGAACGCACAUUGCGCCCGCUGGUAUUCCGGCGGGCAUGCCUGUUCGAGCGUCAUUUCAACCCUCAAGCUCUCCGGAGUUUGGUGUUGGGGCGCCUGGGGCUUUUCGACCUCAGGGCCCUCAAGUCCAUCGGCGGGACCGCCAGGACACUGAGCGCAGUAGUAUUAUUUCGCUCGGUAGGAUCUUCCACGGCGGGUCGAUCUGGCCGCUAAACCCCCCACUUCGCACCAAAGGUUGACCUCGGAUCAGGUAGGAAUACCCGCUGAACUUAAGCAUAUCAAUAAGCGGAGGA
rnacentral:misc_RNA from 1 species